rnacentral:lncRNA from 1 species
GGUUGCAUGUGGAAGGAAUGAUCUAUUUUAUGAGAUCGGCUUUGGUGGUCCUUGGUCUGCUCAUGGAUCACAGCUCUGAUUCCUUCCCACUUCGCUUCUAUCCAGCAGGCUUUGAACUAUGGUAGGGGUACAGGUGGCUCAGAUGCGAAAAAGGUGGUGGUUCACUCUAUUUUCCUCAUGACCUUGUGGAGACUUUGACUACAUCGCAAUGAAAAGGUGUUUAAUACUUCGAAUACUUCUUCGUUCAAAAUGGUGGCAGGUGUUAAAGAGACUAUGUUCUGGUGGGCUUCUAAGAGGUCAAAACUGAGGAAUAUUUCUUUUGGCAGUUGGAAUUCUUUUCUUGUAGUGUUUUUGAGGGGUAAGGGCUUGGCGUUAUUUUGUGUUUUUAGUGGUGGGCUUGUUGUUCAGUCUUUGCUACCAGCUAUGUUCUAUGUUUUAGUCAUCGAAUCUCAGUUUGGUUGUUAAAAAAAAUGGAACAGGUAACUAUAUAUUAGUAGCAUGUGUUUUUGAAAAAAGACUUUAUUUUUCAUAGAUUCGAAAGUACACCCAUACCCUCACCGUUCACCUAAAAAAGGUACCACUCAUAUUGGCGAAUCAUACUGCAAAAAGAAGAGAACCAUUCUGAACUGUUUUUCUGGUCUGGUGCAAUUUUGUAAGGGAAGCAGACCAAGCAUAUGAUGACGGGUCUUGGACAAAAAGACGAUGAAUUGGUAAACAAAGCUGAGUAAUUAAGGGUUCACUGACUGGGAUGAUGAGCAAAGGGAUCACGAAGUUCAUGUGGCUGGGGGACGUGGUAAAUCGGCAAGAGGAAGAGGAAAAUUCAGAGCUAC